rnacentral:rRNA from 1 species
UCAUCAUGCCCCUUAUGACCUGGGCUACACACGUGCUACAAUGGGCGGUACAAAGGGUCGCGAACCCGCACGGGGAGCCAAUCCCAAAAAAGCCGCUCUCAGUUCGGAUUGCAGGCUGCAACUCGCCUGCAUGAAGCCGGAAUCGCUAGUAAUCGCGGAUCAGCAUGCCGCGGUCGAAUACGUUCCGGCCUU